rnacentral:lncRNA from 1 species
UUCUGCAUUUUUUUUCUUUGACUUAACACUGGACACAAGAGUCCCGGUGGGGGCUUCGAGCAGUGCUGUUCCCAUCCCAGCUCUGCUGAACCAGGGUCGUGUUCCUGUCCCCUCCGUCUGAUGGUCCCUCAGACCUAACUCUGCUUCAUCAAAACGAUGCAGAAAACAAAACAAAAAGCAAAGAGGUUCAGAUGCCCAUGCUGGUUGACCAUCUCACCAGCUAGUUCCCAGUCCAGAGUACCAAGAGGACUUGGCAGGAACGUGGGGCUCCCCCAGGCUCUUUAUUACAGCCCUGGACUGUCUCCUGGACCUGCUGGUGGCAGGUCCCACCUGAUGGUGGGACCUGCCCAGCACCAUCCCUCAGGCUCCCUAGGUGACAACCUUGACCUCCUUCGUAAGGACCCUGGUUGUUUUUCACCUGCUAAAAGCUUUUUGUAGAGCCAGGCGUGGUGGUUUCUGGUCUUGAAGAUCACAGCACCUCCCUUCCACUGAGGAUGGAUGCUGAGGGACCCUGGGAGCUGGUACGGGUGAAGUCCAGGUGAGACACGCGAGCUGUCAGACCCAAAUUUCGUGUUUUGUCUCUUCCCAACCCCUCUGGGGAGCACAGGUUCCCGGUUUCCCAGCUCAGCGACGGGCGCUGGCACCAAGUGGCUCUCGGCAUCUCCUCGGAGGGGCUGGAGCUGCACGUGGACUGCCGGCUGGUGGGGAGAGCGAGCUGGUCCGGCCACGUCGGGAUGGGAGUGAGCACGGAGGGGCUGGUCGUCCUCGGGGGCCUGGUCGAGGCCUUCGAGAUCCCCUUUGAGGGUGCCCUCCAGCAGCUGAUCUUCGUGAUGGGAGACCCAGCGGCCGCCAGCGAGCACUGCCACAGCUACAGCACAGCCUGCGCCCCCCGCCUCAGCCGCCUGCCGUCCCCGGGGGACCUCUCACAACCCGCAUGGCCAGAGGUGUGGCUGAGGGCAGCUGCCAAAUCCUGGGCGUGCUGGACCGGGCUCCUGUGUGGAGUAACCUGUUCCGAGUGCAAGGACCAAGCCAGGGGGUUAGGGGAGCCUGGAAGGACUCAGGUUUCUGCUCUGAGCUGA